AAGACUGGCCCAAUUUGCUACGAGUCCACGCGUGUUUGGGGGGAUUUUGGCCCAGCUUUAGCAUUUGACUUUUAGCCCAAUGUCUUAGCUUGGGUUGGGUAGUGUUUGGGGGGAAAUUUUGGGAGAAAAUAUAGCAAAUAGCCCAGGUUUGGAGAAUGUCUUAAGGAUGUGACCAUAGAGCAUUAUGGUGGAUCUAAUGGAUUUGAGUUAGCAUGGUAUAUGCUGAAGUAUGCUCAGAAUUUGGAGAAAAUGGUUGUAGUUUAUCAUCCUCGGCAAUCUAAGGCUAUAAGGAAAUUGAAAAAGGUCGUGACUGCUCAGGACUUGGAGAAACGUGAUUGUUUGUUUGUCGGAAAUAUCUGAUUUUAUAAGGAAGCUAAAUGAAGAGCGGGGGGUGUAUUCAAUUGGGAGUGAGAGAUUUUAAUGAAUUUAUAAAUCUACGGAUUUUCAUGGAGUUUAAUUGAUUUGUAGAGAUUUCAUAUAAAAUUUUGAUUCAAUUCCCUCAAAAUCUCAUGGGGAGAUGUGAGAUUUGAGGAUGCUUAAAUUACACUACAAAUCUCUUCAAUUCCCUAUAAUUCCUCAACUUUUUCAAAUUGUUUAAAAUCAAAUUCUAAUUGAAUACAUCUGGAAUGUUAUAAACUUAUUUAAAAUCAUAAUUGAAUACACAUUAAAUUUCAAAGAAUUACUUAAAAUCUUGAUUUAAUAUCCCUAGAUUCAUUAAAAGAAUUAAAAUCUCUCAAAAUCCCAAUUAAAUACACCCCUAAAAAUCAAGAGCAUUUCCAUUGCUGCAAUUGUCUAUCAGGAAGAUCAAGAAAACAAGGACCGCCCCUCCCCACCUGGCCGCUUGGUUGUGGUUCAAUCUAGGGAUGGGCAACAGUUAUGGUGGGCGAGUAACCGCGGUUAUUUACCCAUAAUCGUUUAUGUUCAUACCCACAUAACCGUUUCCUCGUUGGUAAUUGCAUAAACGGUUAUACCCAUAUCCAUAACUGUUUAUAAACGGUUAACCAUACCCAUAACCGUGUACCCAUUUAACCAUAACCGUUUACCUAUUUAACCAUAACCAUUUACCCGUUUUUGAACCCGUUUAUCCUUUUUUUACCCAUUCACCCUUUUCACCCGUCCACUUUUUUUUUUAUCAACUUGAAUAUUACAAAAGCAAAAUUUGUCAUAAUUUUCAUUUUCUGACAAUUAAACACCGUUAUAAGUACAUUUUAGCAUGCAUUUCCCUAUUUUAAUCAUUUAAGUCCUCAUACAAUUCCAAUAAUUGAAAUAAUAGUUUACGAACAAUAUUUUUCUACUACACCCAAGCAAGUCUUUAAUUAUAAUCCAUAUGAUUACAAAGUAAAGCUUCUAAAAACAAAAAGUAGUCAUUAUCUUGAAUAUUAGAUGAUUCAAAACUCCAAAAUAUUCUGAAACUAAACACUUUCGAACACUAAUGCUUUAGCACGUUCAAUCACAAUGUCUCAUCAACUCGUUGUCACCAAAAGAGGCCUACAAAAGAAAUGUAUAAAUUGAAUUAGUAUCUCAUUUAGGAACAUCGAUACCAAUUAGCAUGAAUCCAACAAAGGUAGACUUAACCUUGAGGGGCGAUGAGAGAGAGAUGAGCGGCGAGGAGAGAGAGAUAAGCGGUGUAGAUGACAGAGAGUGCGGCGGUGAUGAGAGAAAGGGCGACGAGGAGAGAUAGAUGAGUGGCGGAGAUGAGAGAAAGGGUAACGAGGAGGAAGAAAUGAGCGAGGGACGGGGCGUUUGAGACUCCGAGUCUGACGGAGAUAUUGAAAAUUUAAGGUUUUUAAUUUUAAUUUUUUAAUUUCAUAUAUUAAAUUAAAUAGGUAAAUGGAUAUCCGUUAUAAUUGCGUGUAAUACCCAAAACCGACGGAUACCCGUUAUCACCGUGGGUAAUACCCAUAACCACCCAUUUAAAUUUCAUGGAUAAACAGUUAUACUCAUAACCAUUUGUUCGUCUAAACGGUUACCCAUAACAGUAACCGUGAAUUUUAAAUGGACGGGUAACCGCGGUUAUCCAAACCCAUGAGUAUUUUUCCCAUCCCUAGUUCGAUCUAUUCACAUUGAAUUUUGAUGAACGUUGUAAUCCUUGAUUUGUUUUUCUUGUUCUAAUUAUAUACUGGGAGUUUCUUGACUUGCUUGCUUGUUUUGUUUGCGUUGUAUAAUUUUCAACUUUUGACAUGUUUGAUAAUCGUAGGGCUUAUGUGUUUGAUGAAAUGAUUUUAGAUAUAUCGUAGACCUCGAGAAUGCUCAGGAGUUGCUACUUGGGGAAAAUAGAGAUUGUUCGUUCGCCCCAACAAUUCAAUGGUAUAAGGUAUUUAAAUGAAAGAAAGAGCGAUUCGCGAUUCCAAAUGAUGCAGUUGUUUUGGUCAAUUGCUCAAUGUUGAAGGUGUUGGAAAAUAGUUAUUUAUUUAGUGUUUGGAUUUGGGCUUAACCCAUUUGAAUUAGGUUUUCGUUUCCUUACUUAUUAGGGACUAGGGUUAGUUUAUUAUAAAUAAAGAGCUUUCAUUCAGAGAGAUUAAGUCAUUCACAAUGUAGCCUCUUAGAGUUUUAUAGCCGUUUUGGCAUUCUCGUUUAUUUAAUAAUAUUCUUACUUUGUUAGUUUUGUUAAUCACGCACUCUGCUAUUCAACUAGCAGGUUUGAUCAUUCGAGAUUUAAUCUGCUUCUGUUCAGUAUCAAUUUGUCUGUCUCGUCCGUUUGUUUGUUGUUCUGUUCUCAGUUGUCGUUGGCUUAGGUUGCAGAAAAAGUAAAGAAAACAGUGUAGAAAAAGAAUUUGUAUGACGACGACUUUUAUGAAGCUAUGACUCGAGAAUCACAAACUCGGAUCAAGUUUGUCUCUACCUUAGGCAUUCCUGUUGAACCCAGCUUGCAUGAACCCACCAUGUCAGUACCUGCCGCCACAUAUGACUAAAUCCAAACCGCUUGAUUUAUCGACCAUUGCUGAGAAACCCAUCUGCGCACUGCCGCUGCUCAUGCACCCAGUCACCAAGCUUGCUGAUGCUGUCCAUUGUGGCCAUCGAAAUGUUUGCAACUGAUGUUGGUAAUUCUUAUCUUUGCUGUUUUUGUUGUUGAUUUGACGAUUAUAUUGGAGUUCCUAUGCAUUCUGAGAAUUGUUGCACUUGUUCGGAGAAAACCAAAAAAAAAAAAAAAAAAAAAAAAA
rnacentral:lncRNA from 1 species